GCCAGCAGCCGCGGUAAUACGUAGGGUGCGAGCGUUAAUCGGAAUUACUGGGCGUAAAGCGUGCGCAGGCGGUUUUUUAAGAUAGGCGUGAAAUCCCCGGGCUCAACCUGGGAACUGCGCUUAUGACUGGAAGACUAGAGUAUGGCAGAGGGGGGUGGAAUUCCACGUGUAGCAGUGAAAUGCGUAGAGAUGUGGAGGAACACCGAUGGCGAAGGCAGCCCCCUGGGCCAAUACUGACGCUCAUGCACGAAAGCGUGGGGAGCAAACAGGAUUAGAUACCCUGGUAGUCCACGCCCUAAACGAUGUCAACUAGGUGUUGGGUGGGUAAAGCCAUUUAGUACCGUAGCCAACGCGUGAAGUUGACCGCCUGGGGAGUACGGCCGCAAGGUUAAAACUCAAAGGAAUUGACGGGGACCCGCACAAGCGGUGGAUGAUGUGGAUUAAUUC
rnacentral:rRNA from 1 species